UUGAAGUAAUUAUUGUCAUUAGUAAUUAGAAAUGAACCUGGUAUCUAUAAAAUUUGUUAAUAUCGGUUUUAGAUUAUCGUUUGACGUCAAUAGAAGUUUCUUAUCAAUUUACAAUUGGGAAUUUUAACCGUAAAAAUAAUUUGUCUUUCUUUAAAUCACUAGAAUGAAGUUCGGAUGUUUUAAAUUAUUUAAUAAAAAUGUGGUGCCAAAAAUGCAUCAUAUUGUUAGUUUUGACAGUGGGAUCAAUUACUAUAACAUGUGGAAUUUUUCUGGUCGUAGCCGGUUGUUAUUUUUAUACUAAACGCUCUUUUGAUAGAACAAAUUUUUCUUCGCAAGAAACUGUUGAAAUUGAGAUUAAAAAGCCAGAUCUUGAAGAAAUAGUAUGAAUAAAUUCCACAAUUUAUUCAUUUGUGAUCUCUAGAUAAAUCCAUCAGCAAACAAAACUACUGUAUUGAAAAAUGUAAAUAAACCUUCAGAAAAAU